CAGAUGUUCCUUCAGAGUUGAAAUGAAUGAAGAUAAUCUACUUCCUAGGCGAAACCUCUGCAAGAUGACGGGGAUGGCAGUGAACAGAUCUGAAGCCAGGGUUUUAUGGCUCUAUAAUAAAAACUAAAAUGUAACUCUUUGAGCUAUUCCAACUUACCUAGAUAACAAUAAGCUGUCAAAUAGUGUACAGGAGACUAACUUUGAAAAUAAAGACCUCUGCUUUAACUUAGGUCAAUCCUUAGCCAAGAUAAAUCAGCAAUAUGCUCCUGCAAAAGGAUAAUACAUUUUUUCAAAAGAAAUAGAAACUAAUGAAGACUGUUGUGAGGAUGGUGCCAAGUUUGAACAAUGACCGCCAUCAUCCUCCCUGUCCUCCAGUUGUGGUCUUAAACUUUAUAUAUCUAAGAAAAACAAACAGAACCAGACUUUUUUAAUGCUAAAUAACUACCAGGCCUGUACAAUUCAGUAGACAAUUGUCUACUGAAUAUUUUAGGGACUUGAUGGUAAUGUUUUGAAUCAUUCAGUGUGGAAUCAAAUGUAUCAGUGAUAUUCAAACUAUGAUCCAUAGGCCAUAUCCAGCGAGUGACAGGUCUUAACUGGUCACUUGAAAUUCUCGCUAUGCAGAAUGAAGCAGAAAAGACUUAAUUCAUUGAACACCACAAUUUUGUGUGACCUGUGACACACAUAUUGCACACAUGUGGCCCCUAGAGCAAACAAGAUUCAGCAUCAUUGUAAUACAUACAGUUUGCAAGCCAACAUAAUUUUUUAUUUGGAUCUGAGAACAUUUAUAAGUAUCUAACACUAUUCAACACUUUCUGACAGCCGAAACUUUGCAAAAUACAUGGUUACAAGGAGUGUUCCGUAAAUGUGUGUAUGUUAAAAUAAAAAAUUGUGCUGUCUCGUGUAUUUCAAUGAAGUGUGAUUUAUCAGUAUUUUGUAACAAGUACUGAGUCUCUGUGUAACUGGUUUCUAAAACUAACAUAAACUAUUUUGCUAAAAAAAAAAUAAUUAAAUGUACUUUUUUCCUUUAAGAUAGGACUUUUUUUUUCCUUUUAGUACAAUACUUAUAAUAAUUUUUAUCAUAAUAAAUCAAUACAAUGUGUAUAUAAUUUAGCAUUUGUCUGCCUUUAGAUGUAUAAAAAUGAAUUUUGUAAAGAUUCUUUUUUUUUAAACUA